GGAAUUUUCGCAAUGGGCGAAAGCCUGACGGAGCAACGCCGCGUGAGGGAUGAAGGCCUCUGGGCUGUAAACCUCUUUUAUCAAGGAAGAAGAUCUGACGGUACUUGAUGAAUAAGCCACGGCUAAUUCCGUGCCAGCAGCCGCGGUAAUACGGGAGUGGCAAGCGUUAUCCGGAAUUAUUGGGCGUAAAGCGUCCGCAGGCGGUUUUGUAAGUCUGUUGUUAAAGCGUGGAGCUUAACUCCAUUUCAGCAAUGGAAACUGCAAGACUAGAGUGUGGUAGGGGCAGAGGGAAUUCCCGGUGUAGCGGUGAAAUGCGUAGAUAUCGGGAAGAACACCAGUGGCGAAGGCGCUCUGCUGGGCCAUAACUGACGCUCAUGGACGAAAGCCAGGGGAGCGAAAGGGAUUAGAUACCCCAGUAGUC
rnacentral:rRNA from 1 species